GACGAACGCUGGCGGCGUGCUUAACACAUGCAAGUCGAACGGAAAGGCCCUGCUUUUGUGGGGUGCUCGAGUGGCGAACGGGUGAGUAACACGUGAGUAACCUGCCCUUGACUUUGGGAUAACUUCAGGAAACUGGGGCUAAUACCGGAUAGGAGCUCCUGCUGCAUGGUGGGGGUUGGAAAGUUUCGGCGGUUGGGGAUGGACUCGCGGCUUAUCAGCUUGUUGGUGGGGUAGUGGCUUACCAAGGCUUUGACGGGUAGCCGGCCUGAGAGGGUGACCGGCCACAUUGGGACUGAGAUACGGCCCAGACUCCUACGGGAGGCAGCAGUGGGGAAUAUUGCACAAUGGGCGGAAGCCUGAUGCAGCAAGGCCGCGUGCGGGAUGACGGCCUUCGGGUGGUAAACCGCUUUCGCCUGUGACGAAGCGUGAGUGACGGUAAUGGGGAAAGAAGCACCGGCUAACUACGU
rnacentral:rRNA from 1 species